ACCAUAGAGAUGAGCACUGCGGACAGCUCCAUGGCCCAGUCGCUUUCAUCAUGAAAGACUGAGUUAUUCAUGGCCACCGCCAUCAUGUGUUCCCAGUCAGUAGUGGCAACGUCAGGUCUUCAGGGCUGGAGUCAUCUGGGAAGGCAGGACCAAGGCAUAGACUACCCUCCCAUGCUAAGUGCUCCAGAGGGGCAUAGACUACCCUCCCAUGCUAAGUGCUCUACAGGGGCAUAGACUACCCUCCCGAGCGUGGUGCCCAUGCAAGCCGGCCUCUGUGACUCCCGUGUGGUGAUGUGCUCGUCUUGAUUCCAGGUGUGCCCCUCAGUAGAGCUGUGUUCCUUCCUUAUGAUUUUCACUCUGACCCGAGACUGACCAGUGGGAAACCGGGACAGACAGUCUAUGGAUUUGAAGAGCAUUGCUUAAUAUUCACACACUACAAGUGAGAAAACCAAGCCAAAGACACUGGGAACCUGCAGAAUGUGUAUCAUCUCCUGAAGAUGAAGCCAGUCAGAAGUCUUCCUGUGUAGGCCGAACUCAAACUCACAGAGAUCCCCACCUCAACCUUCAAGGACCGACUAAUGACUGGCAUCGCACUGGCCCCACCAAAGAUUUUCAAACAAAGAAAGGAAAAAACAA